CCUAACAAAGCUAACAACAAAAGAAAAGUCUCAAGCAGCAACAUCAAGGCUCUCAAAGCCAAAAACAGACACUAACCCGAAACGAAGGUCUACCUGUCAUCGCAAACCCACGAACAUACCUUAUCGUAUGUUUCAUGCACUCAUCCAGCUCCUAAUCUCAUCCAAGCUAUCCAUCACCAGACAUGGCGCAAAUGGGAAGUCUGGGCACCAACCUUUACACUACAAAAAACGAGAAUUAGUGAAGGAAAAAUGGGACGUCGUCGCACGUCAAGUAAGACCAAGUCGAGGAACUUUCAAAUCAAGAAAUUAAGCUCUGAGGUUGAAUAUGAACGAGGAGGCGGAGAUGUUGGGAAAUGACUAUUAAUAAGUAUUAGGUAGCCCAAAGUAGAAUGUCUUUAUACAUACUAUUUUGUCUUGGACUCUUCCGCUGCAAUAGAACUAUUAAUAGGUAUUAGGUAGCCCAAAGUAAAUAUACUAAUUUACUUUAUAGUGCAGACCCAAAUUAAAAGUAUUAAAAUAAUUAUGGUUGUUUUUUUAAAGCUGCGCACUGAAAAGUGGCUGAUUUCAGAGAGUUGGCGCGGACCGGGCAAAUGAUGUGUGUAAAACACCUAGGUUUCUCUAUUUCCCCAAUUUUAAGGCCUUUUCUUGGGUUUUCAAACCAUAUCUGUAAUUACUAGUUUGUCAGACUUUCAAACAAGAUUUGUUGGUGUUUAAACUUUGUUCCUUUGAGAGUU